CAAUUUUUAUGCCCAUUCAAGCUGUGAGUGUGAAUAUUUCGGCUUGUAUGGUCAUGAAAAAAUAUCAUCACAAAGUCAAUAUUUGUAGGAUUUUUGCAUGGUAAGUAUGAUUUUUAGAUUUGUCAUCAAAUACACAUUCGAUCGUAACUCAAAUCAUGAAGAAUAAACAUUUUCCAUGUGCUUUUCUGUCAUUCUUCGUUUGGUCGUUGAAGGGUUCGGACGUGUUUUUCGAAGCUCUCGACGUCGUGACCUAAUUAUAAUUUGAACUGCGCGGGUAAAGAACGCUCAUUUGCGGCUUGGACAUUGACCAAUACGGACGUGUUUUUAAAGCGCUCUGAAAAAAGUUUUGACUUUUAAAUUUUUUUUACUACGACAGAAUCUUAGUUGACUGAUGGUCUUUGACAAAGACAGACUUGUUUUUGUGAGCUCUGAACAAAAUUUGACUUUGAAAUAUUUUUACGAUUAAAAAGUUUCAGUUGACUUUUGAACGUUGACGAAGACGGACGUACUUUCGUGAGCUCUGACUAUUGAUGAAAAGUUUUCGCGUUAUAGAAUAGCGACUUGGUACUCAGGUUGUUGAAUGACUGGAUGACUGAAGUGUUAGGUUAUUGUUAUGAGAUAACAACUUGACUUUGACUUGAGUUGUGAAAUGAAAUCAUACUCUUAUGCGAUGUUAACUUUUGAACGUUUAGUAUUGACUGACAACGAAAUUUUGUGAGCGUUAUAUAUGAAAUGUUUGACUUACAUUAAUUUUUUUGAACGACUUGACUUCACUUUAAGUUUUGACAUCGGACUGAUCGGACGUGUUUUUUUAAGCUCUGACUGUUGUGAAUAAUUAAAUUUAUGUUGUGGUGUCAAGCGAUUGACUGUCAGUUGAGGUUCAGAUGUCGAGCUGUGCGGACGUGUUCAUCGAGCUGCUGUCUACAAAAAACGUGAGUACAAAUUUUUUUCGUUUUACUGUUUACAAGUUGCGUGAUGAUGUAUGAUGGUUGUAAUGUGUUGGGUAGAAAUUACUCAGUGCUGAUACAGUGUCGAUAUGUUGUGAUGAGCGAUAAUAGUGGAUGAUGGUGGAACAGAAUAUUCAUUGAGCUAUUUUGAGGAAGCGAACAUAUGAUGGAAAAAUGUUGCAAAAAUAUUAAAUGCAUGUGCUUAUAUGUACUAAAUAUGAUAUUGCUUUACUUGUAUUUGCAUGCUGUUAACAUUUCUAUUUUAUUCCAGUGGGCUGUGGUGAGUAUUGCAGAUUUAACUUGUAUGUGUGGUUUUUAGUUAACGAUGCUUAAUGAAAACUGUUAUUGUACACUUAGUAUGGAAUGAUGUGAAUGAUGAUAUGAUGGGUAGAAUUAAUCAGUGCUUGUGUCUAGAAAUGCUGAAUGUUUAUUGAAAAGGCUAAAUGCUAGCCAGUACUAAGAGUUGAGCUACCGUGGGAAUGUGAAACGAACUGAUGGUGUAAUAUGAUGGUGUAUUGACAUACUUUUCUUAUAUGUACUAAAUAUGAUAUUGCUUUACUUGUAUUUGCAUGCUGUUAACAUUUCUAUUUUGUUCCAGUGUGCUGUGGUGAGUACUGUAGAUAUUACUUGAUUUUUAGUGUCUAUGAAUGCUGAUGUAUGAUAGCUAUAGCAUGAGCUCAAUGCUAACCAGUAUUAUGAGUUGAUGUAUUGUGGUGAUGCUAAUCGAACUGAUGAUGUAACAUGAUGGUGAACACUUACUGAAUGCAUAAAAUUUAUUGAAUUGCAUUUGUUGAUAUGCACUAUAAUAUGAUAAAUGUAUUGCUUUACAUGUAUAUUUCAUGAUGUUUAAUUUCAGUGGGCUGUGGUGAGUACUGUAGAUUGUAUUGCCUAUGUAUAGAAUUCAAUAAAAGAUUAUGACUGAAAACUGCUUUUGAUUCUUUUUGAACAGUUUUAGGGACUAUAAGUCUAUAACAAAAAUAUGUCGGUUGGCGUUCAUACAGCAAUGUUUUGAGUAGUACAGAAAUGUUUCUACGUUUGUGGUCGCCAGUUGUCUGUGAUGUGUAAAGUGAAAAAUACACGGAGCUUUGAAUACAACAAACAGUUACUGUUUUAACACAGAUUGUGUGCUAUGCAUUUUUCGAUGUAGAUCUUUUUCAGAUUUGACAUGAAAUGUAGACCUGACAUUUGAACAGAGCUGGGAAACGAAAAGGUAAGUUUGUUAAAUUUCACAAUGAACACUUGUGUUUUGACAAAAGAAGAGAUAAAGUGAGUUUUGUCAUCAUCAUGGUUUCUUUCAGAGUAUAACUCGUGAACAGAUGAAAACCUAUUUUUUGCUAGAUUUUCAUGUACUCUUUUUUUGGAUGAUAAGUAUGUCAGUAACUCAAAAUCAUACGGCUAGUACAGUAUGGAACAUGAAUGCUUUGUUCAGAUUUUCAGAUGUGUGCUGGCAGUUCAAGUCUGGCAGCUGAAGUGAACAGUCGUGUUUUCUGGAGCUCCAACAAUAUGCUAGAAGGUAAGUAACUAUGUUUGUUUUGCAUUGCAUGUUUUUAUAUGUUUCAGACUUUCAAGCAGAGAUGUCAUGCUGACUGGAGUUGAGCACAGGGCAGUGACAAAGUGAAAGGUAAGUACUUUUGACUGAAUGUUUGUUCUAUGCAUGUUUUGUUUUAAUACAUUUCAGGAGUGCUUAUCCAGUGAUGAUAUGACAGUUGGAGUGAACAGUGGAGCCAAGCAGUCUUGUUUUUAGAGCUACUCAACAAGCCUUGAAGAUGCUGAUGGCAGUGAUGGGUUUUCAAGCUGACCUGAACAGAAAAGCACUCAUAUGAUUUCACAUGCAGAAAUUAAACAGGAUUUCAACUGCUGAGACACAAUUCAUCAAAAGUAAGGUAAGUUUUAAUUCAUUGAUUUGAGUUGUACAAUGUGUUCUUUACUUUAUUUCAGAUUCGAGUCACUGGUUUACACAUGGAAGAAGAUUUCCACGUCUGUUACUCAACUCUACAGAAGCAAGGUAAGUCGAUCAAAUUUUUGUUUUCAUUGACUGCUGUAAUGUGAUGUUAUGCUAUUUUUCAUGUGUGCUAUGCAGAGAUGGAGAAUUCAAUUUUAAGAAAGAUUAACUGCUGCAGCUUAGCUCUGCUCUGUGUUGAUUUUUGUUCAAAAACGUUUAAAAUGUAUGUGUGUUUUCAGAUGUUUUGUUUCAGUUGAUGUCCAGAUGGCAAGCAGUACAGACGUGUUUCUUGGAGCUGCCAAACAUUGGCUGUGGUGAGUAUUGUAGUAUACAUUUGUUUCAAUAAAUCAUGAUGAAUGAAAACUGAUUUCGAUUCUUUUUACAGUUUUAGGGAUUAUCACUCUAUAACAACUCUGUCGGUUGGUAUUCAUGAGUGUGAGCUUAAUACAGCAAUGUUUGAGUAAUACAAAAAAUGUAUGUACUCUUUUGUGGUCGCCAGUUGUCUGUGAUAUGUAUAGUAAAAAAAACACAACACAAAGCUAUGAAGCAUACAAUUGUUUCAAGGUUUUAUCAAUAAUUGUGUACUGUGCAUGUUUUGAUUUAGUUCGUUUCAGAUAUGACAUGACCUGAAUAUUUGACAGUCGAACAGAGCUGAGCAUUGCAGAAAGGUAAGUGUUUUGUUUGAUAUUUACCAUGCAUACUUUGCUUUGCUCUGUUUCAGAUUCACAUGCAGAAAAGGUCUCAUAGUAGCCUCAACUGUGAAUAAGGAUAUCAACUGCUGUGACUAAACUGUUGAAGAAGGGUAAGUGGAACAAUGUGUUUGUUUUAUAAGUACCAUGUAUGCUUUAUUUUGCUCUGUUUCAGAGUAGACAUACAAACAGUGUCUUGCUUUGCAUGCUAUUUUUCAGGUCUCUCAUGCAGUGAGGGAAAAGAAAAAGAUUUCAAUAAAGAAUCACUGCUGCAACUCAGCUCUUUAAACAAGGUAAGUGUUUACUAUGUUGUAUACAAAAUGUUUCUCUUUCUUACUAUGUUUCAGGUUAACAUUGCAGAGAUGUUUUGACAGCUUGUGACAGAAAAGAAAUUCAGCAGCUGUGUCUUGACUGUAGCCACAAGGUAAGUCGAAACAAAUAUACUGGUUUGUAUGUUGUGUUGUUAUGCCCUUCUAUGUUUCAGACUUACAUUGCUGUGACUGUUCCACAGUGGGUCAAAAAAGAGACGAAUACAGGUUUCAAGAAGAAAAUUGGCUGUUAAAACUCUGCACAAAAUAUGAGGUAAGUGAACUACUCUUUUGGUUUGUGUUGUGCUUUGUUCUGCUUAACUAUUUUUCAGAUUUGAGUGGUGGGUCGUUACAGAGCAGACUUUUUGACAAGUGAGAAAUUGAGAAACAGAGAAUGAUUCAAGAUCAGCUAGGUAAGUCUUGAUUAUUAUGCAUUGCUAAAUGUUGUUUUCAUUCCAGUAUGGCUGUGGUAAGUACACAAACUUUCUAUAAUUUAAUAUUGAACUGUUUUUAUGACCUGUAUUCUGCAUUGUAAAAUGUCUGUUUUUCAUUUCAGUAUCCUGUGGUAAGUACAAUUGCCUUCUUUAAUUUUCAUAUUGAACUGUUUUGAUGACUUGUAUACUACUAUGCAAUGCUUAAUGUUUUUUUCAUUUCAGUAGCCUGUUGGUAAGUACACUAACUUUCUAUAAUUUCAUAGUGAAUUGUUUUGAUGACCUGUAUUCUGCAUUGUAAAAUGUGUUUCUUUUUCAUUUCAGUAUGGCUGUGGUAAGUACAAUUGCCUUUCAUAUUGAACUGUUUUGAUGACCUGUAUUUUGCAUUGUAAAAUGUGUUUCUUUUUCAUUUCAGUAUGGCUGUGGUAAGUACACAAACUUUCUUUAAUUUUCAUAUUGAACUGUUUUGAUGACUUGUAUUCUGCUAUACAAAAUGUGCUUUUUUCAAUUUCAGGUCAGCAAUGGUAAGUAUAGUGUGUUUUUUUAUGUAUAAUUUUGUAUACAUAUUGUUUUUUUCAUCAUAGCAUGUCUUUUAUAUUUAUGCUUUGUGUAAGUAAAAUGUUCAUUAAAUCAUUCUUAUCUUCAAACUAAAAAUGUAUUGUGCUAUGCAAAAUGUCUGUAUGAUUUCAGUUGCCAGAGGUGAGUACCAUUACAGUUGAAAAGUUAGUUUUGUUUAGUUAAAGUUUUGGUUCACAGUUCUGUUUGUUAUUUGGCAAAAUUUACAUGUAUGCAUUGAGUCUUGAUUUCAGCUCGAUUGUGGACUGAAGAAGAUUGCCCGCAGAGGGAUUGGAUACAAAAUACAAACUUUACUGCUAGACGAGUGUUCUCUACUACUUGACGAGUCAGCUUUACUACCAGGCGAGCAGUGACAACAAGGCGCCUUUGUGGAAACAACACAACAAAAAACUGUACUGCUAGACGAGCAGUGACAGAAAGGCGCCUGAACAUGCAACACAAAACAAAAAAUGCCAAUAUACAAACCUUGAUGUGGACACCGAGUAGUCAAUACAUACGUGUGGCGUACAGCUGCGACAAAACCGUGGGUCCAUCGCACCGAUAACUCGAACAUUGGCCCGCGUAUGGACAUCAGUGCAACUUUGUGAAUCCAUGUAACUUUGUGAAUCAAUGUAACAUUGCGAAUAUGUGUCGAUCGAAAAAUGUGUACAUUCUGCACUGAAACGAACUCGGUGUUGCAAGUGGCAAGUGUUGACAGUGUGUAUGUUUAUGUUUAUGUUUUUACAUGAAAACUAAAGGAGAUUGUUCUCCUACCUUUUUUUUCCUUGUUUUAUUGUGCUGGCCAGCAAUAUUGAUGUAUUGAUGUAUGUGUUUGUGUAUUAACAAUGUAUUAACUAUGCAAUACCAAAAUCAAACAAAAAAUAAACAUUAACAGUCAUUAACUGUGUUUGGGCGGCCGAGGGGUUUAAGACUCCACAAGUGUGAAGCGCACUGAUAGCACUUGGGGGUGAACACCUCGGUAUUUCGGUGCUAAAAUGUUUUCACGGUGCUUAUCUUGACGCACUGUUAAGACUACCAACCAGUUAAUGAUUGCUUCAUCUUUAAACAAAAAGUAAGUCUCUACUUUGGCACAAGAGACUCCAAGUACCAAAUACCAACAAUUAAAAAGCAGACGUUUUUCAAAACUAUGAUCGCUGAGAUUGAUAGUCAGAUGGAGUCCUGCCCAGUUAGCUGUGUAGCGGUCUAGGGCGGGGUUGCAAGUCAAUACGAAAUGAGGCGCUAUAAAGCAACUCGUCCCCGUUAUGACCGUCAAUACUUUCGACACUAUCUGGGAAUCCUUUCAACACCACAUUGUUGCGCUGUUGGAAGGGUGGUAGGCACGCAUGGUGACAUGCCUGUGCUUUGCUAUGCGACACCAUGGUAUUUUCGUACGGUGACACGAAAUAUCUUAAUCUGGCUCUCUCAGAAACGCAGGCACGCGUUGACCGAACCUGACCGAUGACCGAGCAAUAACAUUUCUAUUAAGUGCUUCAAUGCACAAAGUCUGCUAGGCUGGGUGGGAA